UACGUAGGGGGCAAGCGUUGUCCGGAAUCAUUGGGCGUAAAGAGCGUGUAGGUGGCUCGAUAAGUCUGCUGUGAAAGUCCAGGGCUCAACCCUGGAAGGCCGGUGGAAACUGUCGGGCUAGAGUCCGGAAGAGGCGAGUGGAAUUCCCGGUGUAGCGGUGAAAUGCGCAGAUAUCGGGAGGAACACCAAUGGCGAAGGCAGCUCGCUGGGACGGUACUGACGCUGAGACGCGAAAGCGUGGGGAGCAAACAGG
rnacentral:rRNA from 1 species